GAUGAACGCUGGCGGCGUGCCUAAUACAUGCAAGUCGAGCGAACGGACGAGAAGCUUGCUUCUCUGAUGUUAGCGGCGGACGGGUGAGUAACACGUGGAUAACCUACCUAUAAGACUGGGAUAACUUCGGGAAACCGGAGCUAAUACCGGAUAAUAUUUUGAACCGCAUGGUUCAAAAGUGAAAGACGGUCUUGCUGUCACUUAUAGAUGGAUCCGCGCUGCAUUAGCUAGUUGGUAAGGUAACGGCUUACCAAGGCAACGAUGCAUAGCCGACCUGAAAGGGUGAACGCCCACACUGGAACUGAGACACGGUCCAGACUCCUACGGGAGGCAGCAGUAGGGAAUCUUCCGCAAUGGGCGAAAGCCUGACGGAGCAACGCCGCGUGAGUGAUGAAGGUCUUCGGAUCGUAAAACUCUGUUAUUAGGGAAGAACAUAUGUGUAAGUAACUGUGCACAUCUUGACGGUACCUAAUCAGAAAGCCACGGCUAACUACGUG
rnacentral:rRNA from 1 species